GGUUGAAGCUCAGUGGUAGAGCGCUUGCCUCACACGCAUGAGGUACUAGGUUCAAUCCUCAGCACCA
rnacentral:tRNA from 1 species